ACGAAGGGGGCGAGCGUUGUUCGGAAUUACUGGGCGUAAAGGGCGCGCAGGCGGCGCGAGAAGUCAGGCAUGAAAGCCCCGGGCUCAACCUGGGAAUUGCGCUUGAUACUCUUGUGCUGGAGUUCGGGAGAGGAGAGUGGAAUUCCCAGUGUAGAGGUGAAAUUCGUAGAUAUUGGGAAGAACACCGGUGGCGAAGGCGGCUCUCUGGACCGAGACUGACGCUGAGGCGCGAAAGCUAGGGGAGCAAACAGGA
rnacentral:rRNA from 1 species